rnacentral:rRNA from 1 species
CCUAGGGGAGGCAGCAGUGGGGAAUUUUGGACAAUGGGGGCAACCCUGAUCCAGCAAUGCCGCGUGAGUGAAGAAGGCCUUCGGGUUGUAGAGCUCUUUUGUCAGGGAAGAAACAGCAGCUCUAACACAGUCUGCGAAUGACGGUACCUGAAGAAUAAGCACCGGCUAACUACGUGCCAGCAGCCGCGGUAAU